rnacentral:sRNA from 1 species
GGGUGUGUCUGCUUAGUUACUCACUACUCUGUGUGCAUUCCUCCUGAGGAUGUGCUCUCAGUUGAAGAGGAUAACCUUCCCUGAAUAGAGGAUAAUUGUUCCUCUGUUAAGUUUAUAUGAAUGGCUGCUCUCUCCUAAUAGAACCUCCAAACAAGUUUUCCUGUGUACUCUUAGGAGAAUUUAAAAUUGUUUUGUUUUGAAAUUAUAAUGUAA